rnacentral:tRNA from 1 species
GGAUAUAGCUCAGUUGGUAGGGUGCUUGCCUCACAUGAACAAGGCCCUGGUUUCAAUCCCCAGCACCA